ACAGAGUCUUGGGGUGAAGCAUUCAGAGAGGAGUUUGAUUGGAGCAAACACAGGAUGGUGUCAUUUCUUAUUGGCUAAGCACGGACCCACCCACCUGUUUAGCCAUUGACCAAUGAACAGCCAGGUUUUUCCAGGAAGUGGCUUUUAAUUACCCAGGAAGUUAAACUCUGUCAUGGCGUCUUUGCCACGCCCCAAACAAUUUGAGUUAAAAUGCUUGUCUGUUCAUUCACACAGAUGUUAACAGUGAGCGAAGUGUGUUUUCCAGUGACUCGUGGCUUUUUUUAAAAUAAAUAAAAUAAUUCCUGCAUUCAAAGGGAGUAUUGCAAAUGGAAGCCACCACAUGUUCAUCAAAUGUGUGAUGAGGAGGCUGGUGACUGAUGAAGCCCCUUGAAGAAGCAAGUAGGUGUCAACAGGGGACUGUUCUGAACCUUCCACCAUGUCACGCUCGCUACCUUCAAGCAGCAAUGAAGCCUGGUGCUGUGACCGGACCACGUCUACUGGAUCCAUCCCGGCCAUUUAAAGGGAAAAGUCUUAAAGGAGUCUUCAGCUGUGGCAGUGGAGCGUCGGGCAGCGGGUUAAGGAACGAUGACUCGGCCGACGGCGAGGACGAAGAGAAGCACAGACUCCCAACUGUUCAUUAUCUGAACUGCAUGUACUCAUGAGGGUCGUGCUGAAGCCAAUCCCAGCUGUCAUUGGGUGAGAGGUGUGGUUCACCCACAGGCAGAGGCUUAACCACAUGGGUGGUCCGGGCCGGAACCACCCCACAAGCCUUGGAUGUGUAGACUCCACGUCUUGUAUGGAGAAGAACCGUCAAAUCCCCCCCCUCUAGAUAGAGACUAGCUAAAAAUUACAUGUUGUGAAAUAUGUCACGCAAAUGACUGGUAUUAU
rnacentral:lncRNA from 1 species